rnacentral:rRNA from 1 species
GGCCAUACCACGUUGAAAGCACCGGUUCUCGUCCGAUCAACGCAGUUAAGCAACGUUGGGCCCGGUCAGUGACUUGCAUGGGUGACCGGCUGGAAAGUAUACAGAUGCCAAGUAAU